rnacentral:rRNA from 1 species
ACUCCUACGGGAGGCAGCAGUAGGGAAUCUUCCACAAUGGGCGCAAGCCUGAUGGAGCAACACCGCGUGAGUGAAGAAGGGUUUCGGCUCGUAAAGCUCUGUUGUUAAAGAAGAACACGUAUGAGAGUAACUGUUCAUACGUUGACGGUAUUUAACCAGAAAGUCACGGCUAACUACGUGCCAGCAGCCGCGGUAAUACGUAGGUGGCAAGCGUUAUCCGGAUUUAUUGGGCGUAAAGAGAGUGCAGGCGGUUUUCUAAGUCUGAUGUGAAAGCCUUCGGCUUAACCGGAGAAGUGCAUCGGAAACUGGAUAACUUGAGUGCAGAAGAGGGUAGUGGAACUCCAUGUGUAGCGGUGGAAUGCGUAGAUAUAUGGAAGAACACCAGUGGCGAAGGCGGCUACCUGGUCUGCAAACUGACGCUGAGACUCGAAAGCAUGGGUAGCGAACAGGAUUAGAUACCCUGGUAGGAUAGCG